UACGUAGGUGGCAAGCGUUGUCCGGAAUUAUUGGGCGUAAAGCGCGCGCAGGCGGCCUCUUAAGUCUGAUGUGAAAGCCCCCGGCUCAACCGGGGAGGGCCAUUGGAAACUGGGAGGCUUGAGUAUAGGAGAGAAGAGUGGAAUUCCACGUGUAGCGGUGAAAUGCGUAGAGAUGUGGAGGAACACCAGUGGCGAAGGCGACUCUUUGGCCUAUAACUGACGCUGAGGCGCGAAAGCGUGGGGAGCAAACGGG
rnacentral:rRNA from 2 species